GACGAACGCUGGCGGCGUGCUUAACACAUGCAAGUCGAACGGAAAGGCGCUGCUUUUGUGGGCUGCUCGAGUAGCGAACGGGUGAGUAACACGUGAGUAACCUACCCUUGACUUUGGUAUAACUUCAGGAAACUGGGGCUAAUACCGGAUAGGAUCUCCUGGCGCAAGGUGGGGCUGGGGCAGGGUCGGCGGUUGGGGAUGGACUCGCGGCUUAUCAGCUUGUGGGUGGGGUAGUGGCUGACCAAGGCUUUGACGGGUAGCCGGCCGGAGAGGGUGAGAGGCCACAUUGGGACUGAGAUACGGCACAGACUACUACGGGAGGCAGCAGUGGAGAAGAUGGCACAAUGGGCGGAAGCCUGAUGCAGCAACGCGGCGUGCGGGAUGACGGCCUUCGGGUUGUAAUCCGCUUUCGCCUGUGACGAAGCGUGAGUGACGGUAAUGGGUAAAGAAGCACCGGCUAACUACGUG
rnacentral:rRNA from 1 species